GACGAACCGUGCGAACGUUGUUCGGAAUCACUGGGCUUAAAGGGCGCGUAGGCGGCGCAGCAAGUCCGGGGUGAAAGCCCCCAGCUCAACUGGGGAAGGGCCUCGGAAACUGCUGCGCUCGAGGGAGGUAGGGGCAGGGGGAACUUCUGGUGGAGCGGUGAAAUGCGUUGAUAUCAGAAGGAACGCCGGUGGCGAAAGCGCCCUGCUGGACCGCUACUGACGCUGAGGCGCGAAAGCCAGGGGAGCAAACGGG
rnacentral:rRNA from 1 species